rnacentral:rRNA from 1 species
UACGUAGGGGCCAAGCGUUGUCCGGAUUUAUUGGGCGUAAAGAGCUCGUAGGCGGUUGGGUAAGUCGGGUGUGAAAACUCCAGGCUCAACUUGGAGAUGCCACCCGAUACUGCUCUGACUUGAGUUCGGUAGGGGAGUGGGGAAUUCCCAGUGUAGCGGUGAAAUGCGCAGAUAUUGGGAGGAACACCAGCGGCGAAGGCGGCACUCUGGGCUGGUACUGACGCUGAGGAGCGAAAGCGUGGGGAGCAAACAGG